rnacentral:rRNA from 1 species
UACGGGGGGGGCAAGCGUUGUUCGGAAUUACUGGGCGUAAAGGGCUCGUAGGCGGCCAACUAAGUCAGACGUGAAAUCCCUCGGCUUAACCGGGGAACUGCGUCUGAUACUGGAUGGCUUGAGUUUGGGAGAGGGAUGCGGAAUUCCAGGUGUAGCGGUGGAAUGCGUAGAGAUCCGGAAGAACACCAGUGGCGAAGGCGGCCCGCUGGGCAGUGGCUGACGCUGAGGCGCGACAGCGUGGGGAGCAAACAGG